rnacentral:lncRNA from 1 species
UAAUAUAAGAGGAUAACUUCACUGAUGAAAAUGGGGUUUUAUGACGUCUUGGUCUGGUCGUAGACUACAAACGAAAGACGAGAAGUUGCAGCUAUGGUGAACUUUUAGUCUAAACAAAACCCAAGUCUAAAUGGCGCCCUAAGGAUUGUAUGAUAGAGGCGAGGGUCCUGAUCUUUGCAUGUGAUGAUAACUAUCUAUUUGAUGGAGACGGCUUUGAUGAUUCAACUAAAGUGCAUGAUGUUCCACCUUAGAAAUUGCUAAACCAAUCUCCAAGAGGCUAUUGUCCACGCCGUAGCAUGAUCAACCAGACCACGAAGGUCUAUUCCUGCAACCAAUCGAAGAGCAAGAAAGAAUAUGAUAAAAGCAAUUCGAAUAUUGUGAACAUAUAUGAAGUAUUGAUAAAGUUGGGGAUCCAAAAGUGGUCUUGGUUUGGUCGUUGGAUACAAACAAAAUACACGAAGUUGGAAUGAUAACUUUAAACUAAACAAACACCAAACAAAAAAGAUGCUAGAGUGGUCUACUUAUAUAGGAGCAUGGCGUUGCUUCCAAGGAGGUGGGAGGAUGUCCCAAGACAACCUAGAACUAAACCUAGGGCGUACAAGGCUCAUGGACCACGUGGGGAGAUGCAACACCUUUGGACUUGUAGUAUGACUUGGAUUGUGACAUAGCAUCACAUUGUUUCGUCAAUAUCUCCAUGCUCCGGAUGAAUUUGAAGGUGAAUCCAAUUGGUUUGGAAAGUACAUGAAAUCUACAAUCCAACACAAAACAAAUUACCCAAUUGUGAGUCUAGAUGCAAAAUUCAUUGAUGUUUUGACACACGUAUUUGUAUGUAGUCCGAAUAUUAGUCCAAAACGUGGGGGACUUGGUUUCUAUCUUCUCUGGUGCAAAAAGUGACGUGAGAGGACUUUUUGAACAACACAUAAUAUUUUCCUUUGAUGUGAGAGGACUUCUUGAACAUCACCUAACCAUUUCCCAUUCCUUUAUCUUCACAGGUGGUUCGUACAAGAGUUUGACAAUUCUGCAUCUAGGCGUGUCAUAAAAAUAGGUGAAGUAGUUUUGUUCGAAUAACAUCAAUAAAUUAUUGCAUAAUUAUUAUCUGAAAUCACCUCACAAAUAUGCAAGUAUGCACUAUUUUCGGUAGUAUACAAGGUACACAUGUCCUUAUCAUCCUGCUCUUGUUGAAAACAAAGUUGUCCUCGGCGUUGCCUAAACUAAAAUAUUGCUAACAAAAGGGACAAGGUGCAUACAUUGUAUAUGUAUAUUUCGUCCAUUUUUAUUGAUCUCAGUUGUGGCACAUGUGAGACAUAUAUAUACGCACUUUUCAAAUGUCAUGAAAUAUAAAGGCAAAAAAUCAUCCCAAGAAGUCAAAGGCAUGAAUAUAUUGCAACUUAGUUUGCACAUAAAAGUGAAGCUCUUAUUCAUAUCAAAAGGUUGGCAAUUUGGAUCAUUAAACCAUCCUAACAUUGUUGAAUACUUUUUCAUUGUUUCCAAUUUAGAUGCUACAAUGUGCUUAAAUAAUCAAACAUGCAACAAGUCAUUUUACAUAGAAUCAUCACCAAUAUUAGAGGUCAUAUCAAAAUGAUUAAACAUUGGCACAAUUAUUUUUAGAAGUUUUUGAUACAAAGCUGGCUUAUUCCCUGAUACACAACGUUCUUUCCAUCAACAAUAAAUUCAACGCGUCCACUUAAAAUUCUUGAUAUUGCAGUUGUUUGAUCACAUGUCAAAGUCAAAUCAUCAAUAUAGUCCUCUAUAAUAGGUGGUGUAAUCAAAGUAAUGCGUAGCUCUUCACAUGUUGCAUUUAAAUUUAUAAGGAAUUCAUC